UACAAGUACUGAAAACCCCAAAGAGUGACGUCCCAAAGAACGACAGUGUUUCAGGAAAACCCAGUGAUGUAGUGGCAGAGAUGUUUGAGAAACAAAUGGUUGGUGCUGCUUUCUGGGCAACUCCGUAAAAUUUUCACUGAAAUUUUAACAAUGAAUUACUUCAAAGUGAGAGGCAAAUGGAUUUGAACAUCAGGUUACUCCUCCUCCUGUAAAAAUCAUUCAUAUCUUUGCAGUUUUCAUUCUUUCUUAAUGCAGCCCAGAUGCAAACGCGGUGGGGAUGGUGAGCUCAGAAGCUCCUGAGAGGUGCAUGUCUCACCAAUCACGGCACUGCAUAAGAAUGACUGUGUUCUCUCCAGCCCCAGAUUCAGCAGUCCUGGGGAAGGGAGCUUACUGGCCCGGGUGGGGGCAGAUUUCACACGGCCCGAUCAGCGGUGCUGGCAGUAGGACCGUCUUACAUGAACCUGUUGUUGGUGGUCCCUUUCCUGUGUGCAAGAGGAGAGUCUGUGGAUGGAGAAGCUUGGUACAUACGCAUGAGAGGUUCUCUUUCCUCACCCUCGGGCGCAUCACUUCUCUCUUCCCAACCGUGACUACCUGGCCCGUUCCAGAUUAUCAUUUUUCCCUACUUGCAUGACCCUGCACGCCGUUUUUAUUUCAAAGGUUUGGAAAGGAACUUGGGGCUAAACAUGUAGACUGGAGAAUUCCUGGGUUGGUGAGUUAGAGCAGAUCAGAUCUCCUCUGCUCUUUUCCUUUGAUCUCCAGCCCCCGUCUUCCUUUCUGUAAUGCAGUUCAGGAGACGUUAGAUGAAAAGGUCAAGUGUGAAGCUCACCGUAUGCUUUUGACCCAGGAGAUGAUGCCCUUUUCUAAAGGCUAAAUGUUUUCUCAGGAUGGAUAUAUCAGUCAUGAGUCCAAAGUUUCAUGACUACCUUAGGAGAUGUUCAUGCUUUUAUGUUUGUAUAAUGUGUGUGAUGGUCGGGGAAAAGGUACCUUUGAAUUUUCUUUGUUUCCUGAUUUAUUUUUAUUAUCCAAAUUCACUUGCAUGCACUUUGAGAACGUUUUGCAAACCUAUUUAAUGUGAAACUCUUGCAAAAAGUUUAGUGGGAUUCUGUAAGUGUUCACCUAACUGGGAGCCAUUCCCUUCCCACCUUGUCCUCAGGUGAGCGGCACUAACUUCCUUAAGUCUGCUUCUGACAGCCAUUCAGGAGUAAUGCAUUCCCAAAGGGGUUACAAUAGAUUUCUAAAUCUUGUAUUUUCAGCUCCUGCCUAGUUAUGGUACCCUGAUUGGCAUGUAACCAUUGAAUUAGAUUUUUUUUCUGCUAAAGAGAUCUUUACGAGCUUUAACUUCAAGUGCCUCUGUAUCUGUCUGUUUGUAUUAUAACUGACACUGAGUAAGCAGGUUUUGUCUUUUAGGGCUGAGGGAGAUUUGGGCAUGUGGUUACUGAUUUUCUUUUCCAAGUUUCCAUUUAAUAGACAGGUACAUCAAUAACAAUCUCACCUGCACAUGUUAACAUGAUUACUUUAGCUUUGCCAUGGUGGGAAUCUUAUUCCCUGGGAGCUGUUUCCCUGGGCCUGAUGACGGAUACGGUCGUAAAUAUACCCCUGAAGGGUAAAACUGUACCUGUUUGAGCACAGAUGGGAGGAAGAUGAAUGUCCCACGGUUUUAGUAUUACAAGUUGAAUCCCAAUGCAGCAUGAAAUUUAAGGUAGUGAUAAUUCAACGUCUGUUCUUUAUUUCUAGUUUUUUUUGGACACAAUGUCUGAAUAAAUAAAAUAAAA